CACGUAGGGCGCAAGCGUUGUCCGGAAUUAUUGGGCGUAAAGAGCUCGUAGGCGGUCUGUUGCGUCUGCUGUGAAAACCCGGGGCUUAACCCCUGGCUUGCAGUGGAUACGGACAGACUAGAGGUAGGUAGGGGAGAAUGGAAUUCCCGGUGUAGCGGUGAAAUGCGCAGAUAUCGGGAGGAACACCGGUGGCGAAGGCAAUCCCCUGGGCCUGCACUGACGCUCAUGCACGAAAGCGUGGGGAGCAAACAGG
rnacentral:rRNA from 1 species